rnacentral:tRNA from 1 species
CGCCAAGCGGUAAGGCAACGGAUUUUGAUUCCGUCAUUCGCAGGUUCGAUCCCUGCC